AAUUACUAUAUCCACCUGGGCCACCGUAUAGAUUACCACCACCAUACCCACCUCCACCAUACAUAGGCCCACCGUAAUUGGAUCCAUAGCCUGCACCAUAGCCAGGGACGCCACCAUAGUUAUAACCUCUGCCAUAACCAUAGCCUGUGCCACCUUCAUAGUAGUUGCCACCAUAUCGGUGACUGCCUCCAUAUCCAUAAGAGCUUCCUCGGUAUCCAUGUGCACUUCCGCCACU
rnacentral:lncRNA from 1 species